GUCGCUUAUGUGCAGUGAUUUCUCCAGAUUCUCUGAACCUUUUGAUGAUAUUAUGGACUGUAGUUGAAAUCUCUAAAUUCUUUACAAUUGUACUUUGAGAAACGUUGUUCUUAAACUGUUCGACUAUUUGCUCACGCAGUUGUUCACAAAGUGGUGAACCUCGCCCCAUCCUUGCUUGUGAAUGACUGAGAAUUUUUGGCGAAGCUGCUUUUAUACCCAAUCAUGACACCCACCUGUUCCCUAUUAGCCUGCUCACCUGUGGGAUGGUCCAAACAGGUGUUUGAUGAGCAUUCCUCAAAUUUCUCACCUGUCCCGACUUCUUUGUCACGUGUUGCUGCCAUCAGAUUCUGUAUUAAAUUGAAUAUAGGUUAGAAAUCAUUUGCAAAUCGUUGCUGUAAGAAAAAUUGUAUGUGUAUGCUAUCACGUGUAUUUUAUCAUAAUGUAAGUAUUUUACUCAUCAUUUACUGAAAAUCACUUGGUGUGAAUGCUUGCAGAAUCAUAUCUGUUUCUUUUUAAUGAGCAUGGGAAAGGAGAAGUAUGGCCUUAGAGUUGGGACUUAUACUUUUCCACUUUUAUGAAUCACCUCUCCCAGAUCUGUCUCCCAAAUAGUUUUAAAGGUCCCCUAUUAUGAAAGAUCCACUUUUGGGGUGGUUUUCUACCAAUAAUAUGCAUACCGGACAUGAAAAAAUUUCAUUCUCUCCCACUCUUGCUUUCCCCUCCUUUCUGAAAACAUGAGCGCAAACGGGCGGAUGGAAAAGCUGUGCGGUUAUGAUGAACUUAAACCCGAUGCUGUGCAAAAAAUAAAAAUGCAUCAAAGUUAAUUUUGUUGCUUAUAUUUGACAUACCCAAGGGUGUGAUAGCAUGUAAAAAAUCUUCAGCCUCUCAUUACUUUUUAUAUUGAAAUUCUGUCAUUUUGUGUGAUUUUUUCUCUUUCCAUCAAAUCAGUGACAUCGCCUCUUAAUUUGGCAUUUAAUUUGGCAUUUAAGGGUUAAAAUUCAUAAUGAAAUAAUAAUAAAAAAUGUUAUGAUAAGGACUGAGCUUUGAAUAGAUUUGAGCAAAAAAAAUUGUCUGGUAUGUUUUUAUAGCAGCUAAAGUAAGUGACCCAAAACAGCCACAACGCAACCAAAGGUAGUAAAUCUGUAAACAGUGCAUUUAAAAAUUUUGAAAGAGAAAAUUAAAAAUAUACGUCAAAUUAAACUUCUUUACCAAAAAUGAUUUCACUCUCUAAAAAAUAGCGAGUAUUUUGGUCAAAAAAGUGAGUAUUUUGCCCCCUACUGGCUAAAAAAAGCCACAAGGUGACACAAGGGUUAACAAACUUCUGAAAAUAAACAUUCAUAGAAAUGGAGGCAUGAUCCAAAACAACAAUUGAGUCAUAUUUGCAGCCAGAAAUGUUGGAUAACAAUUUAUUAUUCACUAGAAAAAAAAUCAAUUCAAGUGUAAGUAUGAUGAAUAUGAAAGAAAAAAAAGAGUAUUCCCUUUUAUCUGGAUCGAAAAAACGCCAAGGGUUAACAACAUUAACCUUGUUCAUAAAGGCUUGAAUCACUUUGGUCGACUUGGAUUGGGAAGAAUGGUUUAAGUAUGGAUUAAUCCAGCAGUUGAAGUCUCCACCUAAGAUUAAAUCAUACAUGGACAAGUCAGGUAGCAUUGAGAAAACCUGUCUAAAAAAGACUCAUCAUCCCAGUUGGGGUCAUAAAAAUGUGUCCUAUGACCUGCAAUAAACCUGCCACCAGAAUCAGACAUUGUCUCAAUAUAAACAAAAGGAAUAUCAAAAGGAUUUGGCUCCCCCCUGUGGACCGAAGCAGAGAGAGCAUCAAAGAUAACAAAAGGUAAAAGGAGGAGAGGAGGAAAUAAGGAAGGAGGGAAGGAGAAAACAAAAGAGAGGGGAAGGAAACAAAAGAAGGGAGGAUGAAAUAAGGGAGGAGAAAGGAGGAAUAGAGGUAGUUCAGGCAGGUCGCUGAGUCAAGCUGAUCUUAAACCAGCCCUCAGUUAGCUUACAGCUCAGGUGAUCGCCCUCUACACAUCCUAUUGGCUAAUGUCAAAAUGGCGCCCUAUUUAAACUGCUUCUCCUGUCUACUCUGCCUGCUGCAAUUCUGCCUUUUUGCUUUUUCCUACCUUGCUCUUCAUCAUGUCGAUCCCUGCCCACGACAAGGAUCCACGGCAGAUUGACUGCUUUCUGAAACGCAGCACCAGCAUGUGAGGUCGAGGAAGCCAGUCCUUGCAAUGACAGAUGCGUUUCCUUCUGCACGAGCUCUCCUCUGGCAAGUAAAACUUUUAUUUCUCCCAGCUUCAUGAAGUCCAGGCUCCUAGAAGUCCUUUAUAGAUAACAUCACAGCUCCCGGUGGUGCCUCACAUCAAUAUCCACAUAGAGCCCCCACUUGCAGUUCUCUCUUCCUCCUCUGUAUCCAGAAAAGCGACCGAGAAAAGAAAACGCUGUUCCCGCCGCGUCACGGCAGUUCAGCUUCAGCCGCCGCGUCAUCGCCGCCGCCCGCAGAGCGCGAGGCCCAACCCCAGCCACCAGAGCCGCGGACGUGGACGACAAUCCCAUCCUGAAAGCACUAUCCAGCAUCCAGCCAUCGCUCGCCCACAUGUCUUCGAGGAUCGAAGCCCCAGAAUCCGGUUCGGCACGUGCUAAGCUGUCCUCCUUCAUCCCAGCUGUCACCUUCCUUCACCGCGCUGAACGAUGACGUCACUCCAGCGACAACCGACGACAGCGUCACGAUCCCGCCAAAGACCCUGGGAAGUGCAGUCCCCGUCUCCAUCGGCGUCCCAUUCUUCCCUCCCGCGGCUGCAAUUACACCGAAUCUGCGGAGCCAAAUCCUCGAAGGUACCGACAUUAAUCUUGUAAAGAAUCUUGCUGUGCUCCGACUACAAUGAUAGACGCAUUGUGGAUUGCGGAGAUGAGUCUGUGAUGCUUAAAUAUCGUGAUGCGCGUCUGUUUAAAUCUCCGACCUUAGCUGAAUUCAUGUAGCUUUCUGCGUAUUUGGAAAUGUCAUAUGUGAAGUGUUUUCAGCACGCAGAACUGAACUGGACACAUAUCUUGCCAUUAUUUCUGAUUCAGACAUGACUUAUGGAAGAAUAUUAUUCUAGGAAUCUCACAAAUCAUUUUCAGCAAAGCUGCUAAGUACAUUCAAAGAUUCAACCAGACUUGAUUAGUCCGUAGGCGACCUGGCUCAACUCGACUUAGCAUCAAGCUUUUUCUUGCUCAAGCUGUGGGUCUUCCUCUCACACCCAGAGUAAGCCAGGAAGCAGGUAUGCAGCGGUACACAGCAGUACGCUGUUAAAUAGAUAAAUGAUUAUUAAAUAAACAAAUAAAUAGAUUUUAUGUUCAAGAGAGGGAGAGAGAGAUGCAGCAGAUGAUGGUACUGUGGCAUCAGAGUCGGCGCCUCGCUAAAUGUGGGUAUACUCCUCUUGUUCAAAGCCUAUGGGCACAGUACAUGCAAGAACCUUAUCCUACAUUAACUAAGGUGACCAGACGUCCCCGAUUUCCGGGGACAGUCCCCGAAUUGGAUGACCUGUCCCUGGAAAAAGCUGUCCCCGAAAAUGGGUAAGGAAGCACAAGUAAGCAGUCCUGAACAACAGUUGUUACGGGAGUUAUUACAAGGCCGAAUGUCCCCUGGUUUCAUUACAGAAAUCUGGUCACCUUAAUAUUAACCCCUGCUCACACCUCCAAUCUGUGCCCUAAAACUGUGGCUACAGGCCAACCGCCAAGCUUUUUCUAAGCCUACAUCACUUCAAGGCCAAGUUACUGCAGGGACGGUUAUCUAAAAAACAGCACGCCCAAGAUGCACCCGCCUUGUAAAAAAGGAGAAUACAGCUGUCUACUCCGUCAAAUGUCCCUGAGCUGGGGAAGGCACUGGCAAAGCAUCCCAACCACUGUUUGUGAAUUAUUUGAUAACAGGACUGGUUCAGGGGUUCCUAGCAUAGUUGAUGGAGAGGAGGUAGAGAAGUAAGAGGACAUGCUCGAGAGGCAGUUCAUCUACCGGAAAGAGAACUUGGCAUAUUAAUUUUCCUUGCGCGUCAUGCCUCAGGGGCGGUCCUUUAUAUCUAGACUUUUCAACCUUGCCAAAUCAGUGGAGAAACUCCAUGAUAGAGUAAGUUUAGAUGAAGGUUGCAGAUCCAAACUGCGGUUUGGUCACUUCUGUGUAAAAAUGGAAAGGCAUCUCAUUCUCUUAUAGUGACUAUCAGGAAUCUUCUCCUGUGAUUUAAGCUAUUUAUAGUCACAGCACCAUAUGUUGGUUUUGGGGGGUUUUAAUAAUCAGUGGUUGCUGAUGUUUGGCCGAAUGAACUGUCUUCUCUGCCAAAAAAUGUGUCUUCAACUGCUUUAAUGUUUUAAGGGUAACCUAUACUACACAAGCUUUUGGAGGUGGGUAGGAUGCUUCAUAGUUUCUUGCUGCUGGCUGCUGCUCUGCUGUUGCCUGGUAUGGUUGUUCUGGGGGGCUUUUUUGCUGCUGUUUUCCCUGCCUCGGCUUCCAUGUGCUACAUGAAAGCUGAGAGGGUCGCCUUGUAUGGUGUUUUGGGGGAUUUCGAUUUAUUUAUCUUAAUCGUAUUUAUGUGCUGCUGCUUUCUCUGCCUUGGCUUUUCAUGUUUGCACAUGAAAGGGAGGGGAGGAACUGUCCCCUCUUGUAGCCGUGGCAUUCCAUGCAAGCGCAUGGAAGAGCAGAGAACUCUCAGAACAGAGAUAUGCCGCCAGUGUAAAAUAUGUUUGAUUGUAAUUAGUGCUGGGCGAUGGGACGAUAGAUAUCGUGGGCACGAUAGAAAAUGUCUAUCGUGCCAUUUUUAUUUUUAUCGUUUCGGGCGAUAGGCUGUAUUUUAUCCAUAGGGCUUGUGCCAUCAGAUGAUUCAUAGUAACAACAACAAUAAUUGCACAUUCAGUAAGUGUAUUUGGUGUCGAACGGGAAAGAAAACAAUAUUUUCUUGCAAAGAAAAGGAUGCGUUGACAUGUAGGCUCGCAUUUCUCUUUCGAUUUUGCGACAUGACGCCGCUUUACGUGCCCUCUUCGUGUCCAGCGUCUCCCGCCGUUGCGGGUUACCUGGGUUACACACGUGAGGGGAUCAUUGUAAGCAGUGCUUAAUUUGUGCCGGAGCAAGUCGGAGCGCGAUCCAGGACCUCUUUUGAUCGGAUCCGGGACCUAUUUCAGCCGCUCCGGCACCUGUUUCAUCUGCUCCGGGACCUUCCCUGUAGAGGAUGACAUUUUUCGGGAAUUCCUGUGGGUCACGUGAUUCCCGCAGGACUCCCACGGGAUGGGAGUCAUUUUUUAAUUAAUCCCUUGAUCGGGACGGGACGGGAAAAAAAGCAACGGGAGUGGGCAGGAGCGGGAACAACAUUAAAAGAUGAUCAUUUUCAGCCGUGUUUAACAACCAGAUGAACAGGUGCGUCCAUUUUUGUAGUCAUCUCUCAGUGAGAGCCAACACUCUUGACCGCGCUAGCAACACAAAAGAACUACAACAGUGGUUUGACUUCCUGUCAGCUGGGAGCGCGGCUGCGCAUUUCUACCCUUCAAGCCAGCAGCGAGGAAACGUAAUUUUGUGACACUCUGUAGUUUUUCAAUCAUUUCUGGAGUCGUGGCGAAUCAAAUCACCUGACCUGUCUGCCCCUGAUAGGCGAAUAAAGCGCUCUGAUUCAUGCUCGGGUCUUCCUACGUGCUUCAAGAGUAAAGUAAACAAUGAUGGAGGCAGAGAGCAGCUUUGGAGGAGAAACAUCUAGCAGUGUGAACAACCCCUUAAAGACCAACCUUUUUAAUAAAGCCUUUGGUUAGUUUUCCUCUAUGCUUUUACUACCUUGCCUCUUACAUUGCAACUCUAUAUUUUUUAUUUUUCUAAUUCUUUUUUUUAUGCCAAUCUGUGACUGUCAUUCUAUUGCUUUUUUAUUGUUGCUGCUCUUUUUUUACUGUGUACUGUAGCACUUUGAGAUUUUUGGUAAAUGUAAAGUGCAUUACAAAUUAAAUUUAUUAUUAUUAUUAUUAUUAUUAUUAUUAUUAUGGAGUGCUUUGGCUCACACUAUCAGCGUUUUCUGUGAGUGUUGCAUAACUUUGGGUGAGCACAGACAUGAACGCACUUCAGCCACGUAUUUAUUUAUUAAUUUUUCUAGUUUUAAGUGCUGGUCUUGUACUGGUACUAGUGCAGCUGUAUACACUUAAAUUUUUCAUAGAACUGAAAGCAUACCAUAGCUAUAUCGUGAUAUAUAUCGUUAUCGUGAUAUAAAAUGAUCCAUAUCGUGAUACACAUUUUUUUCCAUAUCGCCCAGCACUAAUUGUAAUAAAUAAAUUUUGACUAAAGUGAUCCUGAGUCGAAUAAAAAAAGAGAGGAGGAAAUAAGGAAAGAGAGGAGGACAUAGGGAGCAGAGGAGGACAAAAGGGAUCAGAGGAGGAAAUAAAAGAAGAGAGAAGGAAAUAAAAUAAGGGAGGAGAGGAGGACAUAAAAGAGAAGAGGAGGAAAUAAAAGAAGAAGUGUCAGACAGGGGAGUGUGUUCACCUGCAGUCAGGUUUGAGGAAAUAAAACCGUCUGAUGAAGACCAGACCCUCAGGAGAAAACAUGUCAUCAUAACAGAGACGGCAGCAGGAAACAGCGCUGUGACCGACUCAAAACCACUCAACGACGUGAAAAUAAACCAAAGAGGAGCUCGGACAGUUCAGUCCAAACCUGAACAGAAGUCUGCUUCGUUUCCUUCUGAUCAUUUUCAUUAUUUUAUUUUAUGUUUAAGAAAAUUUGAGGUUAGAUAAACUUCCUCUGCAGUCAGCCCGUUUCCCUCAUAUCGACAGUUUUUGAUGCAUGUUUAUGGAAAUAUUUUAGUUUUCCAAAGUGUCGAACCAGGUUUGUGAUUUUUUGACAAAUUAGGAUCAAAAUUCAAUGAAACACUUUGAGAAGAUCUUCAGUGAGACACACACAGAUUUACACAGCCCUCUGCAGCUACAGUUCACUCAUUAAAGGAAGAAUUCAAAGGUUUUAUUGGGUCAUUAUUUUAGUUUUAUUGAAAAUGUUUUAUGUACAGUUUCCUAUUCAAAGUCUAAAUUAACAGAAAGAAGUUUCCAGAGUCUGAACACUUUCAAACACCGACGAUCUCUCAACGCAUGCAUGACACGGCUGAAACCAGAUUGUGGUCAGGGGGGUCUCCAAUCCUUGACCAUGGAGUGUGGGGGGGUCUCAGCAGAGCAAGGGUCUACAUGUUGUUCAGGUAGUCCUCUCCGUAGUCUACUAUCUGUCUCAGGGCGGUCAGGAUUGGUCUGCUCACCUCAUCAGACAUGGAGCACUCAGACUCGUAGUUCUUCACCAGGAAGAUGCAGUUGACAGGGAUCCCCAGGAGGACGCUGAACUGCUCCACCUUCAGGUCACAGAGACGGUCUGGUUACUGGACUCUGAGUAAAGGUCUUUGGACAAUCUAAGGGACUCAGACUCACCUGCUUCUUCAGGUAUUUGCUCUUGUGAAUGUUGCGGAUGUCUCUCCCCACCUCUGGACAGGCUUUGUCCACUUUGGUGAGGAUGGCGAACUGGGGGAUUCCUGCAGACACACAGAGGGGUUCAGACCUCAGACAGCAGGACUCUGGUGACUUAGAGUCCACAGAGCGGGAACUUACCCUGGUCCCUGGCUGCCAGUCUGACCUGUCUUAACUUCUGCACCACCCCAUCAGUCAGCCGAGACACAGUGUCCACAGGGACCACGCAGACCAGGACGUGGACUUUGUCAUCCAAGGUGGGGAUUGGGUUGUAGCCAUGAUCACGCUCUGAGAGCGGGUUUUGAGGAUUAAACUAGAAAAAAAUGAGAUAAAGACAAAAUUAUCUUGAAGACUUAAAAAUAGGCAACUGGACUGUGUAGAGUUGAGAAGAUGUUUCGCCUCUUAUCCAAGAAGCUUCUAGUGUGAGGAGCAGAUAUUUAUCUUACUGGAGAAGGGGACAGACAACGACUGGGAGGAGUUGGAAAGAAUGGGUCGAAGAAACCCAUUUCUGGUUUUUUUAAGACUUAAAAAAGAAUAUAUGAGAAACACGUCUUUUCCACGGGGAAAAAACUGGUGUACUUGAAGGAAAUCGCUGCUUUUGUGGAGGCAGAAAUGAAUAUGCUGAGGAUAUAUCUGUCAACGCAGCCGUAAAUAUCUGUGAAUGACAUUGAGCUUUAGUUUAUGAUAUGAAUCCAUAUGCCAUAAUAAGGUGUUGGUGUCUCUGCAGGUGUAGGUUACCGCCGGUGUCAGAGACAUGGUGCUCGUCGGAGCUCGACUCCCUCUGGAUCACAAAUGUUGAUCAUCAUCAGUUUGAUUGUUUCUUCAGAAACCACAAAAUCUCUCUGAAUGACCCGCUGAUACAUCCACAGAUAACCCUGCAGAUGACCAGCUUCAGUCAUUUCCCCCUCCACAAAAGCAGCUUCAUGACUUUAUUUACUUUAUGACUUUAUUCUCCUAAAUUUACAACUUGAAUCUCUAAAUCUUAAAAGAAAAAAAACUCAAUGUUGUCCUGAUCCUCUGCUGUAGUUUUGUCAGCUUCUUAUUUCUAAUGUUUUUGAUAGUUGUAACACAGCGGAUCAGUUCGUCUCUAAAUCUAUAAUGUUUGGUUUACAGAUUUUAGUGAGUUCAGAGAUCAUGCUCUCAUACAGCCUGAGCUGACUGUCUGCUGAUUUUGGAUUUCUUGUAUUUUCUUUGAAGACGCGCUGUGUCCACAAGCGAGUCCAGCCUCUCACCUGAAAUGCGAAGCUGUGCAGCGGCACGCAAAGAAUUCUGGGAUACCGACAGCACGAAAGCGUGCAUAAAUGCACGCUUGAAAAAGGGCCGGGGGUAGUGUGGUUUUGAGACCGAAUUUGAAGCGCGCUUAGUAUUUUGUACCAAACGGGACACCGUUCGUGCCGCGUGAUGACCUCACGCACGCUUCAGAUGCGCCGUUCGACGGUUGCGGUCUCUGAAAUGGGACACAGGAAGGGUGCAAAACGGCAGUGCACUCAGCUAAGCGCGCUUCUCCCGAUGCGGUCUCUGAAAUGAGACACAGCCAGAGGCUGUGUCUCAUUUCAGAGACCGCAUCGACCUAAGUGCCCUUCUGCACCGUCGAACGGUGCAUUUGAAGUGUGCAUGACGUCACGACGGUGCGAACGGUGUCCCGUUUGGCACGAGAUGCUAAAAAAUGCUAAGCGCGCUUAGCAUGUUUUCAAGCGUGCAUUUAUCCACGCUUUCGUGCCGUCGGUAUCCCAGAAUCCUUUGCGUGCUGCUGCACAGCUGCGCAUUUCAGGUGAGAGGCUGGACUCGCUUGGAGACGCAGCGCGUCUUCAAAGAAAUUACAAGCAAUCCAAAAACAGCAGACAGUCAGCUCAGGCUGUAUGAGAGCAUGAUCUCUGAACUCACUAAAAUCUGUUAACCAAACAUUAUAGAUUUAGAGACGAACUGAUCCGCUCUGCUUCAACUAUCAAAAACAUUAGAAAUGAGAAAGCUGACAAAACUACAGCAGAGUAUCAGGACAACAUUGAGGUUUUUUUCUAUUAAGAUUUAGAGAUUCAAGUUGUAAAUUUAGGAGAAUAAAGUCAUAAAGUAAAUAAAGUCAUAAAGCUGCUUUUGUGGAGGGGGAAAUGACUGAAGCUGGUCAUCUGCAGGGUUAUCUGUGGAUGUAUCAGCGGGUCAUUAAGAGAGAUUUUGUGGUUUCUGAAGAAACAAUCAAACUGAUGAUGAUCAACAUUUGUGAUCCAGAGGGAGUCGAGCUCCGACGAGCACCACGUCUCUGACACCGGCCGUAGCCUACACCUGCAGAGACACCAACACCUUAUUAUGGCAUAUGGAUUCAUAUCAUAAAUUACAGCUCAAUGUCAUUCACGGAUAUUUACGGCUGCAUUGACAGAUAUAUCCUCAGCAUAUUCAUUUCUGCCUCCACAAAAGCAGCGAUUUCCUUCAAGUACACCAGUUUUUUUCCCCGUGGAAAAGACGUAUUUCUCAUAUAUUCUUUUUAAAGUCUUUAUACUUAUGACAAUGUGAUGCUGAUGUGCCAGAGGAUGAAGUAUCUCCUAUCCUCCUUCUAAAUAGGGCCCUCAUACUCCUUCAUACAAAACAAUCAUUGGAUUAAUUUUGUGGGAAUGAUCUGGGCUUGUAUGUAUCUACUAUUUUGUGUCUGUGCAAGGUCGCACAAUUAAAACAAUACAUGCUGCGCUCCGCAGCUUUUUUUCUAAUCAGUCGUGACGUAAGCCUGAGGGCGGGGACAUUUGGAGACCUUCGGAGGACUUCCUGGUGGAGUUGCCAAAUGUCCCCGCCCUCAGGCUCGCGUCACGACUGACUUAAAGGAAACCCGCAGAGCGCAGCAUUUAUUGUUUUAAUUGUGCGACCUUGCACAGACACAAAAUAGUAGAUACAUACAAGCACAAUUCAUCCAAUGAUUGUUUUGUAAGAAGGAGUAUGAGGGCCAUAUUGAGAUUUAAGACUUUAAGGACUUCGAGAUUUAAGUCGUGAAUUUACGAGAAUAAAGUCAUUAAUUUAUGAGAAUGAAGUCAUAACCUGUUAUUUCAGAGAGACUUGCUAAAAUUAGGGCCAUGAAGCAUUUGAAGGAACUGUGCUUCAGUAUAGGUUUCACAAACAAGGAGAUUCUUCAUCCUCUGGCACAUCAGCAUAACAUUGUCAUAAGUAUAAAGACUUUAAAAAGAAUAUAUGAGAAAUACGUCUUUUCCACGGGGGAAAAAACUGGUGUACUUGAAGGAAAUCGCUGCUUUUGUGGAGGCAGAAAUGAAUAUGCUGAGGAUAUAUCUGUCAAUGCAGCCGUUAAUAUCCGUGAAUGACAUUGAGCUUUAGUUUAUGAUAUGAAUCCAUAUGCCAUAAUAAGGUGUUGGUGUCUCUGCAGGUGUAGGCUACGGCCGGUGUCAGAGACGUGGUGCUCGUCGGAGCUCGACUCCCUCUGGAUCACAAAUGUUGAUCAUCAUCAGUUUGAUUGUUUCUUCAGAAACCACAAAAUCUCUCUGAAUGACCCGCUGAUACAUCCACAGAUAACCCUGCAGAUGACCAGCUUCAGUCAUUUCCCCCUCCACAAAAGCAGCUUCAUGACUUUAUUUACUUUAUGACUUUAUUCUCCUAAAUUUACAACUUGAAUCUCUAAAUCUUAAAAGAAAAAAAACUCAAUGUUGUCCUGAUCCUCUGCUGUAGUUUUGUCAGCUUCUUAUUUCUAAUGUUUUUGAUAGUUGUAACACAGCGGAUCAGUUCGUCUCUAAAUCUCUAAUGUUUGGUUUACAGAUUUUAGUGAGUUCAGAGAUCAUGCUCUCAUACAGCCUGAGCUGACUGUCUGAUGGUUUUGGAUUGCUUGUAUUUUCUUCGAAGACGCGCUGUGUCUCCAAGCGAGUCCAGCCUCUCACCUGAAAUGCACAGCUGUGCAGCGGCACGCAAAGAAUUCUGGGAUACCGACGGCACGAAAGCGUGCAUACAUGCACGCUUGAAAACGAGGCGGGGGUAGUGUGGUUUUGAGACCGAAUUUGAAGCGCGCUUAGUAUUUUGUGCCAAACGGGACACCGUUCGUGCCGCGUGGUGACCUCACGUACGCGUCAGAUGCGCCGUUCGAUGGCUGCUGUAUCUGAAAUGGGACACAGGAAGGGCACAGAACGGCGCAAAACGGCGUAAAACGGCUCAAAACGGCAGUGCACUCAGCUAAGCGCCGUUAAGCGCGCUUAUCACGAUGCGGUCUCUGAAAUGAGACACAGCCAGAGUCAUUCUCAAAAUCCCCUCAGCCACAGGAAGUAGUAAUACACCUUAAAACAGGAAGAUGGCGCUGUUGUACACUGGUGUGGUAUCAUGUCCUCACAGACUUGGUUCUGGUUCGAUCAGUGACUGUGGAUUUAACCUCUAUGGUUGGACAGAUUAGACUCUACAGGACCUUCAGUUCAACAAAGUCCUUCAGUGCGUACCUUGUGAUUUUCCUUCACGUGUCCUUUCAUCGCCAGUUUGACGUCGUCCACUUGGACGCCGUUGUCCAGGCUGUUCUCCAGGCCCAUGAUGUCAUUAAAAACCACAGAAUAAAAGCUCGACGCCUGUUUUUCUAUCUUGUAGGUUUUAUACUGAAAGAAGGAGACAGUAAAUGCAUCAGUUAAACAAAUAAAAGUGUCAAUUUAAAAGAUUUUUCAUUUUCUUAAAAAGGAGAUUCAGUCUGAGAGAGUUAGAGAGAGUUAGUUUCUAAAGAGUUUGUUCAUUUGAGUUUUUCAUUAAUUUGUGGAUAUUUUAUGUUUGUCUCUGUCAUUUUGUAAAUUUGUUAAGUCACGUAUAACUGUCUCAGAAGUUUCUGAAGGACCACAAUCAGACGUUCUCUCAGGCUCUAGACCGUCCUACCUCCAGGGUGUAGCUUGUCCCUGAAGUUGCAUCAGUAGCAGCUCGACCGGUCACACGACCCCUGAGAGCGCUGUCCACUGAGUUGAUGAAACUGGACUUUCCUGCACCGACCGGGCCGUGCAGCAGAACCCUCAAGUGACUGACUUGUUUGUUUCGAGGGUGGUAGGCUCCCAGGUACCUAAUGAUGUCCCCGGAGCUCCUGACAAAGCAGAGACAUCAGAUUGUUUUAUCUCAUCUGUUUAGUAUUAAACAAAAGAGCCCUGACCAUAACAAACUACAAUAAAAUACAACAAGACAAAACCAGAUAAAACAGACAAAAAAAAGUUUAAAAAAGAUCAAUGAAAAGAUUAAAUUAUUUCUAAAAAAAGUUAAAAUUUAAAAGGAUAAAAUAAGAUUCAAUAAAAGUGUGAAAUCAGAUCAAAUAAAAUAAGGAAAUAAAAAAAACACAAAUUAAAAACAGGAUAAAAUAAAAUAAAAAGAUAAGACAAAAUAAAAUGAUAAGAUAAAAAGAUAAAAUCAUUUUAAAAAAUGAAAAUUAAGAAAAUUUCAAGAUAAAACAAGAUUAACAGAUUAUACAAGAUAAAAAGUUGAAGCAAGAUAAAACAAAAUAAAAAUAUAGAAUUGAUGAAAAUAAGACAAGAUAAAACAAGAUAAUUUAUAAUAACAUAAGAUUCAAAAAAGAUAAAAUUAUUUUAAAUAAUUUAAAACAAGAUCAUAUAAUAUAUUAAAACUAAUAAAAUAAAAGGAUAAAAGAAGGAAAGAAAAAAGAAAGGUGUGAUAAGCUUUGUUGAAACUAUAUACACUCACCGGCCACUUUAUUGGGUACACCUGUCCAACUGCUCAUUAACACUUAAUUUCUAAUCAGCCAAUCACAUGGCGGCAACUUAGUGCAUUUAGGCAUGUAGACAUGGUCAAGACAAUCUCCUGCAGUUCAAACCGAGCAUCAGUAUGGGGAAGAAAGGUGAUUUGAGUGACUUUGAACGUGGCAUGGUUGUUGGUGCCAGAAGGGCUGGUCUGAGUAUUUCAGAAACUGCUGAUCUACUGGGAUUUUCACACACAACCAUCUCUAGGGUUUACAGAGAAUGGUCCGAAAAAGAAAAAAUAUCCAGUGAGCGGCAGUUCUGUGGGCGGAAAUGCCUUGUUGAUGCCAGAGGUCAGAGGAGAAUGGCCAGACUGGUUCGAGCUGAUAGAAAGGCAACAGUGACUCAAAUAACCACCCGUUACAACCAAGGUAGGCAGAAGAGCAUCUCUGAACGCACAGUACGUCGAACUUUGAGGCAGAUGGGCUACAGCAGCAGAAGACCUUUCAGCUAAGAACAGGAAACUGAGGCUACAAUUUGCACAAGCUCAUCGAAAUUGGACAGUAGAAGAUUGGAAAAACAUUGCCUGGUCUGAUGAGUCUCGAUUUCUGCUGCGACAUUCGGAUGGUAGGGUCAGAAUUUGGCGUCAACAACAUGAAAGCGUGGAUCCAUCCUGCCUUGUAUCAACGGUUCAGGCUGGUGGUGGUGGUGUCAUGGUGUGGGGAAUAUUUUCUUGGCACUCUUUGGGCCCCUUGGUACCAAUUGAGCAUCGUUGCAACGCCACAGCCUACCUGAGUAUUGUUGCUGACCAUGUCCAUCCCUUUAUGACCACAAUGUACCCAACUUCUGAUGGCUACUUUCAGCAGGAUAAUGCGCCAUGUCAUGAAGCUGGAAUCAUCUCAGACUGGUUUCUUGAACGUGUACCUAAUAAAGUGGCCGGUGAGUGUAUAUAUAAAUACACUCACCGGCCACUUUAUUAGGUACACCAUGCUAGUACCGGGUUGGACCCCCUUUUGCCUUCAGAACUGCCUCAAUUCUUCGUGGCAUAGAUUCAACAAGGUGCUGGAAGCAUUCCUCAGAGAGCUUGGUCCAUAUUGACAUGAUGGCAUCACACAGUUGCCGCAGAUUUGUCGGCUGCACAUCCAUGAUGCGAAUCUCCUGUUCCACCACAUCCCAAAGAUGCUCUAUUGGAUUGAGAUCUGGUGACUGUGGAGGCCAUUUGAGUACAGUGAACUCAUUGUCAUGUUCAAGAAACCAGUCUGAGAUGAUUCCAGCUUUAUGACAUGGCGCAUUAUCCUGCUGAAAGUAGCCAUCAGAAGUUGGGUACAUUGUGGUCAUAAAGGGAUGGACAUGGUCAGCAACAAUACUCAGGUAGGCUGUGGCGUUGCAACGAUGCUCAAUUGGUACCAAGGGGCCCAAAGAGUGCCAAGAAAAUAUUCCCCACACCAUGACACCACCACCACCAGCCUGAACCGUUGAUACAAGGCAGGAUGGAUCCAUGCUUUCAUGUUGUUGACGCCAAAUUCUGACCCUACCAUCCGAAUAUCGCAGCAGAAAUCGAGACUCAUCAGACCAGGCAAUGUUUUUCCAAUCUUCUAUUGUCCAAUUUCGAUGAGCUUGUGCAAAUUGUAGCCUCAGUUUCCUGUUCUUAGCUGAAAGGAGUGGCACCCGGCGUGGUCUUCUGCUGCUGUAGCCCAUCUGCCUCAAAGUUCGACGUACUGUGCGUUCAGAGAUGCUCUUCUGCCUACCUUGGUUGUAACGGGUGGUUAUUUGAGACACUGUUGCCUUUCUAUCAGCUCGAACCAGUCUGGCCAUUCUCCUCUGACCUCUGGCAUCAACAAGGCAUUUCCGCCCACAGAACUGCCGCUCACUGGAUAUUUUUUCUUUUUCGGACCAUUCUCUGUAAACCCUAGAGAUGGUUGUGCGUGAAAAUCCCAGUAGAUCAGCAGUUUCUGAAAUACUCAGACCAGCCCUUCUGGCACCAACAACCAUGCCACGUUCAAAGUCACUCAAAUCACCUUUCUUCCCCAUACUGAUGCUCGGUUUGAACUGCAGGAGAUUGUCUUGACCAUGUCUACAUGCCUAAAUGCACUAAGUUGCCGCCAUGUGAUUGGCUGAUUAGAAAUUAAGUGUUAACGAGCAGUUGGACAGGUGUACCUAAUAAAGUGGCCGGUGAGUGUAUAUGUGUAUAUAUGUAUAUAUAUAUAUAUUACUGUGUGUAUAUGCGUGUAUUUGUGUAUAUGUGUGUGUGCGUGUGUCAAUGUGUAUAUGUAUGUCUAUGUGUGUAUGUGUAUGUGUGUGUGUGUGUGUGUGUGUCCUUAGAAUGCUCACUCACUCAUUCAAUCGUCUCCACGGUUGACUCAGACAGGCUGAAGGACAAAAAUGAACAAUAGUGAGAAAAACUGAAAAACAUGGUUACUGAUUAAAGAUCCUGAUCCUCAGAUCUGAGAUCAUGUCAGUAAGAAUUCAGCCUCUUACGGGAAGGUGGAGGAGUUGGAGGAGGUGGAGAAGGUCGAUAAUAUGGAGAAUGUCCAUGUGAUCGUCUGCAUUUUGAUUUUGAUGAGCCCAUGUCUGCAGAGAACAUGUUCACAUAUUAAAACAUGACCUCAGCUGUUUGACCAGUCUCUAAAAUAAAACCUUUGUAGAAGCUCACGGUCUGCAGAUAUUCAGACAUUAUUGAUCUGUUUAAGGCUGAACCAUCAAUGAUAAAUCUGAGAGGUAAUCAGCUGAUAUAAAGAGUUCAAUAUUUCUCCUUUACAUCAACCUAUGAGGAACAAAGUGAUCAUUAUUACAAUAAUCUCCUUAUUCUGAAGUAAAACCCUCCAAACAUGAUGAGACAGCAUGCAACUCUUAAAUCAAUAAAAUCCAGUUUCUACAGAUUAAAAUGGAGCUGGAGGACAGAGUUGGUGUUUCAGUGAGCAUCAGUAAAUGACAGAGAGACUGUAAAAAAAGGUCCUAACAGGUUAAAGUGGCUCUUACCUGCUGCUGUAUCUCUGCUCAGAGUGACUCUGCAGAUCAGCGGGCUGGUGGGUUUUUAUAGAGUCUCCAUACUUUCACUUUCAGUCUCCCUGUUUGAAAUCACUCACAUGAUUUACUGGAAAACUGAAACUGAGCCCAUCCCAGUCAAUGUGUCAAUGAGACAAACUUUAUCUAUGACGCACUUCUUACACAAUGUUGGUGCAACACAAAGAGAUGUACAGAAAAAGAAAAGGAAAGUCAAAAUAAAAACAACAAAAUUUUAAUCAAUAAAUGAGUUUAAAAAAAUAAUAGAUUAAAAAAACUUGAAAUUAAAAACACUUUAGGUGGAGUUUCUGUGGUCUGAGUUAUAACCCUGUCUGAGUUAUAACCCUGUCUGUAGUAUAACCCUGUCUGUAUCAUAAACCUGUCUGUAGGAUGAUCCUGUCUGUAGUAUAACCCUGUCUGUGUUUAAGUCUAAGUUCAUGUGUUCACUCUGGAGUUGUUUGGAGUUUCUUUUCUGUCAGAGACCACCCUCUAAAAACUGAGUUUUUCCUUUGACACAGAAGACUCUGAUAAACAUUCAUUUUCUGUAUUUCAGGAUGAAUUUUGGGUCUCAUCAGGCUGUAACCCUUUUAGUGUUGAUGAUUAUGUUGAAUUAUCCCUAUUUUUUCAGAGCUGAGAGUGGAAAAACUUCGGUUGAAGACAAUUCAUGUUCAGAUGUCCUGAAGGGUGAAAUCAUGUCGAACUCGGUCAGAGGACUUUGUUUAAAGCAGCUACAGAGGGAACAACAGGAGGGUGAAAUAUUAACACAUGAUCACUUUAGACUUUUCAGUCUUUGACUUUCUGUCCAUGUUUGCAGACUGAGAGGUUUCUAAACAUUAUGGUGGAAAGUGUGUUAAAUAACCGUUAUCUGGAGAACAGGAUGUGGCGGUUAGGGAUGUGAGUGUCUGCAUGUCUUUAUUACUCUUUCACUUUCAAUAUGAGCACAAGAACAGCCCUGAUAGAGUGUUUCUCUUUUGGUUAGCAGUCAUUUUGCUGCAGUUCUCCUCUUUAAAGCGUCUCAAAACUGUGAUUUCUUCUGCAGCUCCUGGACUGAUAAACUGCAGAAACUCUGAGUUGUGUUUGUUGAUGGAAGAUGUUUCUGUGCUCAGAUGAAUAAACGACAGAGACACACAGAAACUCUGGAUGAAAACCUUCAGGAGCCCCCCAGUCAGACUGUCCCCCCCUGUUCUGUCUUUCCUGUUUUUCUAACAGGUCUGUGAUUCUUCUCUCUCUCAGCCCGGGUUUGUCGGGGAUUUCUCUUUGCCUGAUAUGAAACUUUCCCUUUCAGUCAGUUUCACCUGCUGCUGCCCUCCACACUCUCUCAGUGUCCUCGGUGUCCUGAAUCAGUUCACAAACAUUUAUUGAGUGUUACACUCAAUAAAUGUUUGUGAACUGAGGAGACGAACUGUUGAAGCUUUGAAGGUGGAAUUCUUUCCCAUUCUUGAUGUACAGCUUCAGUUGCUCAACAGUCCGGGGUCUCUGUUGUCCUAUUUUACGCUUCAUAAUGCUCCACACAUUUUCAAUGGGAAACAGGUCUGGACUGCAGGCAGGCCAGUCGAGUACCCGCACUCUUUAACUACGAAGUCACUCCGUUGUAACACGUGCAGAAUGUGGCGUGGCGUUGUCUCGCUGAAGUAAGCAGGAAGGCUGUCCAUGAAAAAGACGCUGCUUGGAUGGCAGCAUAUGUUGCUCUAAAACCUGUGUGUACCUUUCAGCAUGAAUGUUGCUUUCAGAGAUGUGUAAGUUACCCAGGCCUUGGGCACUAAUGCACCCCCAUACCAUCACAGACGCUGGCUUUUGAACUUUGCGUCUACAACAGUCCGGAUGGUUCUUUUCUGCUUUGGCCCGAAUGACACGACGUCCACUGUUUCCAAAAACAAUCUGAAAUGUGGACUCGUCAGACCACAGAACACUUUUACACUUUGCAUCAGUCCAUCUUCGAUGAGCUCGGGCCCAGAGAAGCCGGCAGCGUUUCUGGAUGUUGUUGAUCAAUGGCUUUCUCUUUGCUUAGUUGAGUUUUAACUUACAGAUGUAUCGACGAACUGUAUUUACUGACAGUGGUUUUCUGAAGUGUUCCUGAGUCCAUGUGAUCAUAUCCUUUACACAAUGAUGUCAGUUUUUGAUACAGUUCCACCUGAGGGGUCGAAGGUCACGGGCAUUCAAAGUUGGUUUCCGGCCGUGUCGCUUAUGUGCAGUGAUUUCUCCAGAUUCUCUGAACCUUUUGAUGAUAUUAUGGACUGUAGUUGAAAUCUCUAAAUUCUUUACAAUUGUACUUUGAGAAACGUUGUUCUUAAACUGUUCGACUAUUUGCUCACGCAGUUGUUCACAAAGUGGUGAACCUCGCCCCAUCCUUGCUUGUGAAUGACUGAGAAUUUUUGGCGAAGCUGCUUUUAUACCCAAUCAUGGCACCCACCUGUUCCCUAUUAGCCUGCUCACCUGUGGGAUGGUCCAAAUAGGUGUUUGAUGAGCAUUCCUCAAAUUUCUCACCUGUCCCGACUUCUUUGUCACGUGUUGCUGCCAUCAGAUUCUGUAUUCAAUUGAAUGUAGGUUGGAAAUGAUUUGCAAAUCGUUGCUGUAAGAAAAAUUGUAUGUGUAUGCUAUCACGUGUAUUUUAUCAUAAUCUAAGUAUUUUAAUCAUCAUUUACUGAAAAUCACUUGGUGUGAAUGCUUGCAGAAUCAUAUCUGUUUCUUUUUAAUGAGCAUGGGAAAGGAGAAGUAUGGCCUUAGAGUUGGGACUGAUACUUUUCCACUUUUAUGAAUCACCUCUCCCAGAUCUGUCUCCCAAAUAGUUUUAAAGGUCCCCUAUUAUGAAAGAUCCACUUUUGGGGUGGUUUUCUAACAAUAAUAUGCAUACCGGUAGGCCUGUCACGAUAACAAAUUUUGCUGGACGAUAAUUGUGCUACAAAUUAUCGCCGAUAAACGAUAUUAUUGACACCAUUUUUUAAAUUAUAGAUAAUGAUAUUAUAUGGCAUAAUAAUGCGAGUACACCAUGUCAAAAGGGAUAAACUUUAAUUUCCACACGAGAACAACACUGGUUGUUUUCGUUGACUAAAAUAUUUCCCUUUUCUCCCACGACGAAGACGUAACGUUGACGAGCUAAACAUAAGUCGGAGAUGACUAAAAUGUGACGAGACGAAAGUGCGUUUACGUUGAUGAGACGAGACGAAAAUGACGAACAGAGUUGCAAAACUCAGUCAGUUAAACGCUAAACAUAUAGGAGCAGCUUCAGUCCGCUCUGACAGCUCUCAUCAGCCUGCUGUGCUCCUCCAACACACAGACACGCACGCGCACACACACACGUGGAGUUUUGUGGUUGACGAAAACAAAACUGGUUUAAAGCCGAAAUAUUCCCACACUUGGGCUGUUGCGUUCGGUUUAGACACCAAAGCUGUCGUGUUCAUUCUGUUAGCUUGCUUUUCACUCACAAUGCUCACUUGCAGCACUGUAUCCAAAAAGUCUGUGUCUGUGUGCCUGUGCGCGCCAGCCCCCUCGUGACAAAGAUACUGAAUGACUGACAGGAGGGUUCACUAACUCCGUUCAUUCCGCUAUAGAGCCAACGCCCCCAGGUGCCGAGAACAAUGCGCAGAGUGAGACCUCUUCUCUCAUCCAGCGUGUUUGGUAGCGAGAGAGGAGGAAAACAAACGCACGUCAAUUAUCGAGGCUGGCAAAAUGACCGACCUCGUUUUUAUUUAUCGAGCGAUAAGGCGAUUUAUUGAUUAUCGCGACAGGCCUACAUACCGGACAUGAAAAAAUUUAAUUCUCUCCCACUCUUGCUUUCCCCUCCUUUCUGAAAACAUGAGCGCAAACGGGCGGAUGGAAAAGCUGUGCGGUUAUGAUGAACUUAAACCCGAUGCUGUGCAAAAAAUAAAAAUGCAUCAAAGUUAAUUUUGUUAUAUUUGACAUACCCAAGGGUGUGAUAGCAUGUAAAAAAUCUUCAGCCUCUGAUUACUUUUUAUAUUGAAAUUCUGUCAUUUUGUGUGAUUUUUUCUCUUUCCACCAAAUCAGUGACAUCACCUCUUAAUUUGGCAUUCAAGGGUUAAAAUUCAUAAUGAAAUAAUAAUAAAAAAUGUUAUGAUAAGGACUGAGCUUGACGAAUAGAUUUGAGCAAAAAAAAAAAAUUGUCUGGUAUGUUUUUAUAGCAGCUAAAGUAAGUG
rnacentral:lncRNA from 1 species